ensembl:misc_RNA Y_RNA Y RNA
GGCUGGGUCGAAGGUAGUGUGUUAUCUCAGUUGAUUGCUCACAGUCAGUUAUAGGCUGAACUCCUUGUUCUACUCUUUCCCCCUUCUUGCCACUGCACUUAACUAGUCUUAA